rnacentral:rRNA from 1 species
GUGGUAGCAAUACCAUGAGUAAAGUGGCGCACGGGUGAGUAACACGUGACUAACCUACCCUGGAGUGGGGGAUAACUGAGGGAAACCUUAGCUAAUACCGCAUAAUACCUACGGGUCAAAGGAGCAAUUCGCUUCAGGAGGGGGUCGCGGCCGAUUAGUUAGUUGGCGGGGUAAUGGCCCACCAAGACUGUGAUCGGUAUCCGGCCUGAGAGGGCGCACGGACACACUGGAACUGAAACACGGUCCAGACUCCUACGGGAGGCAGCAGUGGGGAAUUUUGCGCAAUGGGGGAAACCCUGACGCAGCAACGCCGCGUGGAGGAUGAAGUCCUUCGGGACGUAAACUCCUUUCGAUCGGGACGAUAAUGACGGUACCGGAAGAAGAAGCCCCGGCUAACUUCGUGCCAGCAGCCGCGGUAAUACGAGGGGGGCGAGCGUUGUUCGGAAUUAUUGGGCGUAAAGGGUGCGUAGGC